rnacentral:tRNA from 1 species
GCUUGGAUAGUUUAAAGGUAAAACGAUUGACUUGUAAUCAAUUGUUCCCAGUUCAAAUCUGGGUCUGAGCUU